AUUGAACGCUGGCGGCAUGCUUUACACAUGCAAGUCGAACGGUAACAGGUUAAGCUGACGAGUGGCGAACGGGUGAGUAAUGCAUCGGAACGUGCCCAGUCGUGGGGGAUAACGCAGCGAAAGCUGUGCUAAUACCGCAUACGAUCUAUGGAUGAAAGCGGGGGACCGUAAGGCCUCGCGCGAUUGGAGCGGCCGAUGUCAGAUUAGCUAGUUGGUGGGGUAAAGGCCCACCAAGGCGACGAUCUGUAGCUGGUCUGAGAGGACGACCAGCCACACUGGAACUGAGACACGGUCCAGACUCCUACGGGAGGCAGC
rnacentral:rRNA from 1 species